rnacentral:rRNA from 1 species
ACGAACGCUGGCGGCGUGGAUAAGACAUGCAAGUCGAACGAGAGAAUUGCUAGCUUGCUAAUAAUUCUCUAGUGGCGCACGGGUGAGUAACACGUGAGUAACCUGCCCCCGAGAGCGGGAUAGCCCUGGGAAACUGGGAUUAAUACCGCAUAGUAUCGAAAGAUUAAAGCAGCAAUGCGCUUGGGGAUGGGCUCGCGGCCUAUUAGUUAGUUGGUGAGGUAACGGCUCACCAAGGCGAUGACGGGUAGCCGGUCUGAGAGGAUGUCCGGCCACACUGGAACUGAGACACGGUCCAGACACCUACGGGUGGCAGCAGUCGAGAAUCAUUCACAAUGGGGGAAACCCUGAUGGUGCGACGCCGCGUGGGGGAAUGAAGGUCUUCGGAUUGUAAACCCCUGUCAUGUGGGAGCAAAUUAAAAAGAUAGUACCACAAGAGGAAGAGACGGCUAACUCUGUGCCAGCAGCCGCGGUAAUACAGAGGUCUCAAGCGUUGUUCGGAAUCACUGGGCGUAAAGCGUGCGUAGGCUGUUUCGUAAGUCGUGUGUGAAAGGCGCGGGCUCAACCCGCGGACGGCACAUGAUACUGCGAGACUAGAGUAAUGGAGGGGGAACCGGAAUUCUCGGUGUAGCAGUGAAAUGCGUAGAUAUCGAGAGGAACACUCGUGGCGAAGGCGGGUUCCUGGACAUUAACUGACGCUGAGGCACGAAGGCCAGGGGAGCGAAAGGGAUUAGAUACCCCUGUGGUCCUGGCAGUAAACGGUGCACGCUUGGUGUGCGGGGAAUCGACCCCCUGCGUGCCGGAGCUAACGCGUUAAGCGUGCCGCCUGGGGAGUACGGUCGCAAGAUUAAAACUCAAAGAAAUUGACGGGGACCCGCACAAGCGGUGGAGUAUGUGGCUUAAUUCGAUGCAACGCGAAGAACCUUACCUGGGCUUGACAUGUAAUGAACAACAUGUGAAAGCAUGCGACUCUUCGGAGGCGUUACACAGGUGCUGCAUGGCCGUCGUCAGCUCGUGUCGUGAGAUGUUUGGUUAAGUCCAGCAACGAGCGCAACCCCUGUUGCCAGUUACCAGCACGUGAAGGUGGGGACUCUGGCGAGACUGCCCAGAUCAACUGGGAGGAAGGUGGGGACGACGUCAGGUCAGUAUGGCCCUUAUGCCCAGGGCUGCACACGUACUACAAUGCCCAGUACAGAGGGGGCCGAAGCCGCGAGGCGGAGGAAAUCCUAAAAACUGGGCCCAGUUCGGACUGUAGGCUGCAACCCGCCUACACGAAGCCGGAAUCGCUAGUAAUGGCGCAUCAGCUACGGCGCCGUGAAUACGUUCCCGGGUCUUGUACACACCGCCCGUCACAUCAUGGAAGCCGGUCGCACCCGAAGUAUCUGAAGCCAACCGCAAGGAGGCAGGGUCCUAAGGUGAGACUGGUAACUGGGAUG